rnacentral:rRNA from 1 species
UACGGAGGGUGCGAGCGUUGUUCGGAAUUACUGGGCGUAAAGCGCGUGUAGGCGGCCUUCUAAGUCUGGUGUGAAAGCCCGGGGCUCAACCCCGGAAGUGCAUUGGAUACUGGGAGGCUGGAGUACCGGAGAGGAGGGUGGAAUUCCUGGUGUAGCGGUGAAAUGCGUAGAUAUCAGGAGGAACACCGGUGGCGAAGGCGGCCCUCUGGACGGAUACUGACGCUGAGGCACGAAGGCCAGGGGAGCAAACGGG